rnacentral:lncRNA from 1 species
UGGGUUGUUAAUGAGAGUUUGGAAUCAUCAUUUGGGAUCCUGGGGAGAUGGUACCGGCUCCCGAGAGUCGCCUGGCCUUAGGGACUAAUCCUUGUCACCUGCUCUGGGGACUCCAGGGCCUGAUUUUCUGGGCACAGAGGAGGAGGCGCGUCUGUAGUGAAGCCACACUAUGGAGACACAUUUAGCCAAUUAUCAGCCCGUCGGGAGCCUGGGUGGAGCCGCCGCCGCCGCCGCCGCCGCCGCCGCAGCCAUGCACCAGGAAAAUGCUGGCUUGUGUAAAAGCCAGUCCUGCCCAGAUCUGACUUACUCCGAAGCCGGCAUGCUUAACUCCUGCCAUCCGUGUAUCACACAGCUGGUCCAGAUUGGUUUUCCAGUUCAUCGGCUUGAUCUCCGGUCGCUUCAGAGAAUAAUCAUGUGAAAUAGGAGUUAACCAUCCUCAUUUUCUAAAUAACAUCAUAACCAUCACCCUAUACUGAGUGUUUUAUAAGAGCUAAGCCCUCCACACGGAUGAAGUCAUUUUUGUUGCACAAGCAACACAGAAGGGAGGCAGUGUUACUGUGUCUGGCUUUGCCACGAGGAAACAAGCUGAGAGAGAGGAAUGGACUUGUCCAAGCCCACACACCCAGCGUGUGAGGAGCCUGGAUCUUCCAUCUCAGAGACAAACCUGCCCGGGAGUUCAGAGGAUGAAACACGGAACGCGUGUGUAAAGACCGGAGGGUGGAAACACUCCGUUUUGAUAAAAGGAGAUCUGCUCAGCAUGGAAUCCUCCAUCCCGCUCGUCGGGAGAUGCAAAGAUUUAUCCAGAGAGGGGCUGAUGAAUUGAGGAUACAGAAAUGAGGCCAAUGUGAGUUGCCUUUCAAGAGCUGUGCUAAUAUAAAACCAAGCAACUUGAAUUUGUUCCAAGAAGGGAUUAAAGCAACAUGUUAUUUUGAGUGAUUGCUUAAUUUAUUGAGCUGUGGCUAGAUCUGUAAUGAAAUACAGCCCUUGCAACUGAUAACCUCCUGCUACAAUUGAACUUGUACAAUUAAGGACUAUUUUCUGAGAGUUUCUCUGGAAGAGCUGAGCAUUUUUAGUGUCUGGGGUGGGGUGCUUCUGAGCACUCAUUUUUCCAGACCAGCUUUUGUUUUUUUCUUUGCAGAGUGACAGGCUGAUGUUAAUAAGGAAAAUAAACAGCAUUUUAUUGAAUGCCUUGUGUGUACCAGGCACUUAAUAUACAUUAUCCCUAAUCCUGACAGCGGCCCAAGGAAGUAACUCUUAUUAGCCCCUGUUUUACAGAUUUGAGGCUCCUAGAUGUUAAGUAAUUUUCCUGAGUGGUGCUGUCCAAGUUGGUAGCUAUUGGCCACUUGUGGCUAUUUCAGUGUAAAUUAGUUACGUUUUUAAAAAUCUUGGCACAACCUUGUAAGCCAAUGAUACACUAAUAAUAAAUAAAUUUAAAAACAUUUAAUAAAAAAAAAUUCACUCCCUCAUUGCACUAAUAGCCAUAUGGGGCUCGUGGCUACCAUAUUGGACAUUUCGAUUACUAGGUUCUAUGGAUCAGUGCCAUUCCAGAGAUGUCACAGCUAGGAACUGGCAGUGCCAGACUUCAAACCCAAGCUAAUGGGCUUUGGAGGCAGCCUCUACUAUCUUCCUCACUUCCUUCUCUUCCUUUGGCUGAGAAGCGAGGGAUUCUCUACCCUGGCUGCAAACUAUAUGGAUGUUAGGGUCCCCAAGAUGCUGACUUCAUUGUGACUGAGAGGGCUUUUUAUAAUUCCCAAUGUGACUCAAAUGUGCAGCCAGGAUUGAGAAAAGUUAGGUGAGAGGAUCCACCCACAAAGGAUGGUGGAAGACGUUGGUUCACCUGCCAUGAGAAUGUGGUCCCUUGUGGGCCCCGACAUGGCCUUUUCUCAGAGCCACACGUAAGCCUCCUCAUCAGAGAGCUCAGGUUCACUUCUGAAGGAAAGACUUAAGUGCUUUGUCACACACUUCCCGCUUGAUGGGAGACAUACCUCAGCACUCCUCUUUUAGAAGCAGGCUUUGCACACUGUCACGGCCAGAAGGAGAUGUGGAUUGCAGAAAUGAAGGGAGAAACGGAGCCCCAGAUUGGACUUAGAAGCCUCAGUAUGUUGCCUUCCAAGAUAAAGUGUGUGUUUCCUACCUGGAUGCAGGUAGGAAACACAUACUUUAUUUUGGGCAACUCAAUAACAGUGAGCACUCC